rnacentral:rRNA from 1 species
UACGGAGGAUGCGAGCGUUAUCCGGAUUUAUUGGGUUUAAAGGGCGCGUAGGCGGGAUGCCAAGUCAGCGGUAAAAUGCGGUGCUCAACGCCGUCGAGCCGUUGAAACUGGCGUUCUUGAGUGGGCGAGUAGUAUGCGGAAUGCGUGGUGUAGCGGUGAAAUGCAUAGAUAUCACGCAGAACUCCGAUUGCGAAGGCAGCAUACCGGCGCCCUACUGACGCUGAGGCACGAAAGCGUGGGUAUCGAACAGG